AACGAACGCUGGCGGCGUGCCUAACACAUGCAAGUCGUGCGAGAAAGUUCCCUUCGGGGAGCGAGUAAAGCGGCGCACGGGUGAGUAACACGUAGGUAACCUACCCUGUAGUCGGGAAUAACCCGGGGAAACCCGGGCUAAUGCCGGAUGAGACCACGGCUGCUUCGGCAGCCGAGGCCAAAGGCGGCCUCUACACGUAAGCUGUCGCUACAGGAUGGGCCUGCGGCCCAUUAGCUAGUUGGAGGGUAACGGCCUACCAAGGCUGUGAUGGGUAGCUGGUCUGAGAGGAUGAUCAGCCACACUGGGACUGAGACACGGCCCAGACCU
rnacentral:rRNA from 1 species